AUGUGACCAUCACUUGGACAUGGACAAUUAUUCGAUCCUAAGAGAUGGGUAAUCCUUGUAUCAAGGGUGCACAUUGCAUGAACAUCGAAAGAGAAUUGGGUUAAUAUUCCCAAACCGGGACAUGGUGGUGGACGACAAUGUUAGGAAAUCUGGAGAUGUCAUCGGGGGCCUAGGAAGAGUUAUCUUUUCCUUUUAACGCAUUUGACUCAUAACCACUACAAUUUUUAGAAUCCCAAACCCGUAAACCCUUGAAAAUUUAACCCUAAUAUUUAACCUGUAUAACCCCAAACAU
rnacentral:ncRNA from 1 species